rnacentral:tRNA from 1 species
CCAGGUGUAGCUCAGUGGUAGAGCCCCUGCCUGCCAUGCACAAAGCCCUGGGUUUGAUCCCCAGCCCUGUA